AAGAUCACGUCGCCUCCGUCCUCCUGCACCGUCGGCCUGGGGGCGGGCACGGGACACGGCCCCGUUCGGUAGGCCGCGCCGCUUCUCACCUGCAUUCCGGAGUGUUAGCGGGUGAAGAAAUCGUGAUCUUUGACCGCGUUGACGGAACGGUUGCUUCCCUGGGCUGAAGAGACUGACUGCUGUGUGACAGAAUCUAAAUUAAAAUAAGACCAUAAUUACAGUACAAAUAUAGAAUCAA